UGGAAACAGAUGCUAAUACCGGAUAACAACACUAGACGCAUGUCUAGAGUUUAAAAGAUGGUUCUGCUAUCACUCUUGGAUGGACCUGCGGUGCAUUAGCUAGUUGGUAAGGUAACGGCUUACCAAGGCAAUGAUGCAUAGCCGAGUUGAGAGACUGAUCGGCCACAUUGGGACUGAGACACGGCCCAAACUCCACGGGAGGCAGCAGGG
rnacentral:rRNA from 1 species